GCUUACGGUCAUACCAGCCCAAGAAUGCUCGGUCUCGUCUGAUCUCGGAAGCUAAGAAGGCUUGGACCUGGUUAGUACUUGGAUGGGAGACCUCCUGGGAAUACCAGGUGCUGUAAGCU
ensembl:rRNA 5S_rRNA 5S ribosomal RNA